UGGAGCUGAAAUCAGUCGAAGAUACCAGCUGGCUGCAACUGUUUAUUAAAAACACAGCACUGUGCAAACACGAAAGUGGACGUAUACGGUGUGACGCCUGCCCGGUGCCGGAAGGUUAAUUGAUGGGGUUAUCCGUAAGGAGAAGCUCUUGAUCGAAGCCCCGGUAAACGGCGGCCGUAACUAUAACGGUCCUAAGGUAGCGAAAUUCCUUGUCGGGUAAGUUCCGACCUGCACGAAUGGCGUAAUGAUGGCCAGGCUGUCUCCACCCGAGACUCAGUGAAAUUGAACUCGCUGUGAAGAUGCAGUGUACCCGCGGCAAGACGGAAAGACCCCGUGAACCUUUACUAUAGCUUGACACUGAACACUGGUCCUUGAUGUGUAGGAUAGGUGGGAGGCUUUGAAGUGUGGACGCCAGUCUGCAUGGAGCCAUCCUUGAAAUACCACCCUUUAAUGGCUGGUGUUCUAACGUGGACCCGUUACCCGGGUUGCGGACAGUGUCUGGUGGGUAGUUUGACUGGGGCGGUCUCCUCCUAAAGAGUAACGGAGGAGCACGAAGGUUAGCUAAUCCUGGUCGGACAUCAGGAGGUUAGUGCAAAGGCAUAAGCUAGCUUGACUGCGAGAGUGACGGCUCGAGCAGGUGCGAAAGCAGGUCUUAGUGAUCCGGUGGUUCUGAAUGGAAGGGCCAUCGCUCAACGGAUAAAAGGUACUCCGGGGAUAACAGGCUGAUACCGCCCAAGAGUUCAUAUCGACGGCGGUGUUUGGCACCUCGAUGUCGGCUCAUCACAUCCUGGGGCUGAAGUAGGUCCCAAGGGUAUGGCUGUUCGCCAUUUAAAGUGGUACGCGAGCUGGGUUUAGAACGUCGUGAGACAGUUCGGUCCCUAUCUGCCGUGGGCGCUGGAGAAUUGAGGGGGGCUGCUCCUAGUACGAGAGGACCGGAGUGGACGCAUCACUGGUGUUCGGGUUGUCAUGCCAAUGGCAUUGCCCGGUAGCUAAAUGCGGAAGAGAUAAGUGCUGAAAGCAUCUAAGCACGAAACUUGCCCCGAGAUGAGUUCUCCCUGAGACUUUAAGUCUCCUGAAGGAACGUUGAAGACGACGACGUUGAUAGGUCGGGUGUGUAAGCGUAGCGAUACGUUGAGCUAACCGAUACUAAUGAACCGUGAGGCUUAACCUU
rnacentral:rRNA from 1 species